rnacentral:rRNA from 1 species
CCUACGGGCGGCAGCAGUGAGGAAUAUUGGUCAAUGGGCGCGAGCCUGAACCAGCCAAGUCGCGUGAGGGAAGACGGUCCUAUGGAUUGUAAACCUCUUUUGUCGGGGAGCAAAAGACGCCACGUGUGGCGUUCCGAGAGUACCCGAAGAAAAAGCAUCGGCUAACUCCGUGCCAGCAGCCGCGGUAAUACGGAGGAUGCGAGCGUUAUCCGGAUUUAUUGGGUUUAAAGGGUGCGCAGGCGGAAGCGCAAGUCAGCGGUAAAAUUGAGAGGCUCAACCUCUUCGAGCCGUUGAAACUGGUGUUCUUGAGUGAGCGAGAAGUAUGCGGAAUGCGUGGUGUAGCGGUGAAAUGCAUAGAUAUCACGCAGAACUCCGAUUGCGAAGGCAGCAUACCGGCGCUCAACUGACGCUCAUGCACGAAAGUGUGGGUAUCGAACAGGAUUAGAUACCCGAGUAGUC